CUCAAAGCGGUUAAGUCGGGCGCGAAAAAGGAUACACGCAUAGCGGAGAAUGUGCGCGGUUGCGGCAACGUGAAAUAAGGAAGAAAAAACUUUUGUAACCUCUACAUCAGAAAAUGCAUAUAUUGCCGCGAAGAAGUAAACUUAGCCAAGGACAUUUACGUAAAUUGCAGUAAAAGGAUUAACCAAGUUGCUAAAGUGACAAUUUUAGUAUAGCGAAUUUCUCAACGAGGGCUGUCAACAACACAAAGCGCAGAACUCAUCGUUGCCUAGCCAAUCGACAACAGCAAAGCAUCUAA